rnacentral:tRNA from 2 species
UGCGCCCGUAGCUCAGCAGGAUAGAGCAGCGGUUUCCUAAACCGCAGGUCGGAGGUUCGAAUCCUCUCGGGCGCGU